rnacentral:rRNA from 1 species
AUUGCACGCUGGCGGCAGGCCUAACACAUGCAAGUCGACCGAGUGGCGGACGGGUGAGUAAUGUCGGGGAAACUGCCUGAUGGAGGGGGAUAACUACUGGACACGAUAGCUAAUACCGCAUCCCAUCGGAUGUGCCCAGAUGGGAUUAGCUAGUAGGUGGUGUAAAGGCUCACCUGGGCGACGAUCCCUAGCUGGUCUGAGAGGAUGACCAGCCACAGUGGAACUGAGACACGGUCCAGACUCCUACGGGAGGCAGCAGUGGGGAAUAUUGAAGAAUGGGCGCAAGCCUGAGGCAGCCAUGCCGCGUGUGUGAAGAAGGCCUUCGGGUUGUAAAGUACUUUCAGCGGGGAGGCGUUACCCGCAGAAGAAGCACCGGCUAACUCCGGGCCAGCAGCCGCGGUAAUUC